UUGUGGCCACAUGACAUUGAAACAUCAGUUCUCAUACAAUCACUGAAGUUAAGGAAAAUCUAGCCAGGUCAGUACAUAGAUGGGUGACUGCUUGGGAAGACCAGGUGCUGUAAU